rnacentral:rRNA from 1 species
CCUACGGGAGGCAGCAGUGAGGAAUAUUGGUCAAUGGGCGAGAGCCUGAACCAGCCAAGUCGCGUGAAGGAUGAAGGAUCUAUGGUUUGUAAACUUCUUUUAUAUGGGAAUAAAGUGAGGAACGUGUUCCUUUUUGUAUGUACCAUAUGAAUAAGCAUCGGCUAACUCCGUGCCAGCAGCCGGGGUAAUACGGAGGAUGCGAGCGUUAUCCGGAUUUAUUGGGUUUAAAGGGUGCGUAGGUGGUUAAUUAAGUCAGCGGUGAAAGGUUGUGGCUCAACCAUAAAAUUGCCGUUGAAACUGGAUGACUUGAGUAUAUUUGAGGUAGGCGGAAUGCGUGGUGUAGCGGUGAAAUGCAUAGAUAUCACGCAGAACUCCGAUUGCGAAGGCAGCUUACUAAACUAUAACUGACACUGAAGCACGAAAGCGUGGGGAUCAAACAGGAUUAGAUACCCUGGUAGUC